GCCGGGCGUGGUGGCUCACGCCUGUAAUCCAACCUCUUUGGAGGCCAAGGCGGAUGGAUCACCUGAGGUCGGGAGUUCAAGACCAGCCUGAUCAACAUGGUGAAACUCCGUCUUAA
ensembl:misc_RNA Metazoa_SRP Metazoan signal recognition particle RNA